CAGUAAUGCUGCUCCUCGUAUGACUCAUGCACUUGCAGACUGGCCAGCUAACAAAACAGCUGUUUACAGAAAAGUGAUGAAAUACGGAAAGUACCACUGCUAAUUGUAUUUCUAUUGUACCCCUUUCAUUGUCUUUCCAGACUAGAAGCUCGGGAGCUUUCUUCAUUCUUAUAUUAAGAACAAAAUGACCAGCAGGAGAACAAUGUGAAAUUCACUGAGACCUGAAUGAAAUGCAAGAAAAUAUUAUUAUGAAAUGGUCUACGUAAUUAAUAAUGUUGCUAAAUUGAACUUCAGUGUCUGGUUGACAGGACACACAAGCCUGAAAGAUGAAAGAUACGGUGUUUAUACUUCUCCCUAGGAAGAGCCAUAGGCCUUGGGCCUCACCAAGGUACUCACUGUGUCCUGCCGCCCUGUG